AAUUGAAUCUGAAGAUAACGAAUUCGCGCCCAUCUUGGUUCUUCCUCUUCGGCUCUAAGACCGCGAACCGGUUUAACGGUAGCCGGAUUAGGGACGACCCUAACCCUAAGAUUGAAUGAGCUGCUUCUUGUGUUUUCCUUUCAGUUUCUCGCAGUUCGCAUGCGCAGUUCCCGAAGAUGAAAUGGAAGAGCGCGUGAAGGAGGAAGCGAGUGAGA
rnacentral:misc_RNA from 1 species